rnacentral:lncRNA from 1 species
AUGAAAACUGAAACCAUCAAUCAGCUCCUGCAGGAGAAACAAGCAGCAGAGAAACUGAAGAAUGAGUUCAAGUCCAAAUGUCACGAGAUGAUCAACUCUGAGAAGGAUGAAAUCAUUCAGAAGCUGAUGGAAACAUUUCUUACACUGGAAUCAAAGAUGAUCAACUCUGAGAAGGAGAAGGAUGAAAUAAUUAAGAAGCUGAUGGAAACAUUUCCUAAACUGGAAUCAAAGGUCAGUGAAAGCAUCUCUCAGCACACAGAGGUAAACAUGGACAUAUGUGAUGCUGUCAUCCUCCCAAUGAUCACAGACCUGUAACCUUAUAUUCCUGCGGUUUUGUCCAGCAGCAGCUUUUUUGUAGAAGUAACUAGUAACCAUAAUUACUUUUUAAAUAAAUGGCCUGUAUUUAUAUAGCGCUUUUACUAAAUGGUAAAUGGCCUGUAUUUGUAUAGCGCUUUACUUAGUCCCUAAGGACCCCAAAGCGCUUUACAUAUCCAGUCAUUCACCCAUUCACACACACAUUCACACACUGGUGAUGGCAAGCUAGGUUGUAGCCACAGCCACCCUGGGGCGCACUAACAGAGGCGAGGCUGCCGGACACUGGUGCCACCGGGCCCUCUGACCACCACCAGUAGGCAACGGGUGAAGUGUCUUGCCCAAGGACACAACGACAGAGACUGUCCGGGCCAGGGCUCGAACAGGCAACCUUCCGAUUACAAAGCGAACUCCCAACUCUUGAGCCACGAUCGCCCCAAAUAAAUAAUUUUUUAUUUAUAUCGCACCUUUCAAGACAGAAUCACAAAGUGCUGCACAUAAGAUUACAAGUCAUAAAAAGAUUUAAAAAGAGAAAAUAAAACAGGCAAAAAAUUAA